ACUGCUCAGUAACACGUAGCUAACCUACCCUUAAGUCAAGGAUAACCUCGGGAAACUGAGGAUAAUACUUGAUAGAAGACUUACCCUGGAAUGAUUAGUCUUUUAAAUUCGAGCUUAAGGAUGGGGCUGCGGCGGAUUAGGUUGUUGGCGGGGUAAUAGCCCACCAAGCCAAAGAUCCGUAAGGGCUCUUAGCGGAGAGGCCCUGAGAGGGAAUCUGAGACACUAUUCCCAGCCCCACGGGGUGCAGCAGUUAGGAAUAAUCUUCAAUGCGCGCAAGCGUGAAAGUUUGAGCCAGAGUGCUUUUCAAUUAGAAAAGCUUUUGUGAAGUGUAAAAAGCUUUACGAAUAAGGACUGGGUAAGACGAGUGCCAGCCGCCGCGGUAAUACUCGCGGUCCAAGUCGCAGCCAUUUUUAUUGGGUCUAAAACAUCCGUAGCUUGUUUAGUAAGUUUCUUGUGAAAUCUUAUCUCUUAAAGAUAGGGCGGGCAAGAAGUACUGCUGAGCUAGAGACUGGAAGACGUAAGAAGUACGUUCAAAGUAGCGGUAAAAUGUGUUAAUCUUGAACGGACUCACAAUAGCGAAGGCAUCUUACGAGGACAGUUCUGACAGUAAGGGAUGAAGGCUAGGGGCGCAAAACGGAUUAGAUACCCGUGUAGUCCUAGCAGUAAACACUGCACACUAAACAUUAGUACCUCCUCGAGAGGUAUUAGUGCUGAAGGGAAGCCGAGAGUGUGCUACCUGGGAAGUAUAGUCGCAAGGCUGAAACUUAAAGGAAUUGGCGGGGGAGCAC
rnacentral:rRNA from 1 species